CUUUCAUCCCCUCAGAAGCAGAAUCGUAGAACCUUGCAUUCCACACCAUCACCAUCAAUGGAGGCAACGCUGAAGCUUCGGUUCUUCGCCAUCGCCCUCGUGGCCGUGCUCAUGUUGGGCUCUGUCGUUGAGAGGGUUGCGGCUGUCGAGGCACCGGCGCCUAGCCCGACCUCCGGAGCUGCCGUCUCUGCCCCGGCUGCUGCCGUUGCCUCCCUGACCGUUCUGGCUUUCGGCUUCCUCUUUUGCUGUGGUUGAGGUUUCCAUUUAUAUGAAUUGUAUUCUUUUGGUGUUGGUUGGAUAUCAUGUUCUAAGUGUUUUCUGUACAUUGUAAUCUUUCUCAUUGAGAUCGAUUCUUUUAUUUAGGGAGGGCGCAAUAAAGGAG
rnacentral:misc_RNA from 1 species